UUCGUAUUUGUGUUUUAGUCUCUUCCCUCUUCACUGCGUUUUAGCAAUUUCUGUGUCUGUUGCAUAAAAGAUUCAGCCAACUGUAAAUGGGGGUGGUGGAAGGGGUGGAGGGGUGGGGGUGCAUGAACCUAAAAGGGGGCGUCGUAUCGAAUGAUUUGCGGGGGCGUUUUGCCUGAUGCAUCCGAUCAACUCUCAUAGGUCCGAAAUCGAAUUGGAUUCGCUCUGCCAGCUUUGUUUAAACAAAAAGUUGAGCCUUUGAGUUUGCUGAUAUGAUUGAAUCAAACGGGAAUUCAAAGUUCUUCAGCAGCACUAUCACUUGUUUUAUUGCAAAAUGCAAGAAAAAAAAAAUGUAUUACUAGUAGGAAAUACUUUUAAGUCCCUUGUAAGAAAUAAUUGGCCAAAUUUAAAUUGGUUUGUGUGUUGGUUUUGUAUUUAUCAAGAAAUGUAUUUAUUAAGAAAUGUAUUCAUGAAACAUUGUAAGCACUUCUGAAGUUUAUAUUAUUACUUUUCCUUCUCCAAAACUAUAAGCUUCAAAUAUUUAUUGUACAUGCACUUCCAUAUACCGCUGGGGGUUACUUAAAUAGUUUUUUUCCAUUGGAUAUAAAAGUUUUCCAGUUUUGAUAAUUUUAUAUGGUUCCAAGAAACGUUAACCCUUUGGUGCCUAAAGGCCACUGGAAAUGGUACUGUGGGGCACCACCGAGUGGUUCCCAGUAACCGCUAUCGCUGACGGUGUGUGCUAUCGGUUAAUGGUCGAUCGCACAACAAGUUCAUUGUGGUUUUUAAGCAGAAAACUGAUAAAUACUCUGGCACUGUGUGACUGGAUGGGAAAUGGGGUUGGGUUCGGAUUGCUCGACUUGACAAUGGGUUUUUGUUGCCGUUAUUGUAGUAAUCAUAUUGUACAACGGCACAGCUAUCCAGUCAAUAAUUACAAACUAAUCCAUACAGUCCUCGUGCUGUAAUUGCUAAAUUUUCGAUUGAAACAUUGGUAGGGAUAAGUCGGUUGUUUAACAAAUAAAUAAGAAACUUGUUAAACAAAAAAAAAAUACAUUUUACAUUUUGUAGCUAUAUGACAGAGAAAGUUUUGAGAAUUUUGUGGCUUUAUGGCGUGUGACUUUCCUCCACUCAAUUUAUAUGCUGCGUUGGUUGUUUAGCCCUUUUUAUGGUUUCAAAGCUAAAAUGCAAAUUCACCACUUUAGUUUGUGCUUUUGUCAAAAUGCAGCCAAAAACCUUGCAGCGGAAGUUAAACAAAGCAAAAAGCGAGCAUAAUUAUAUUACCGGCGAGAAAUUCAAAAUAAAUUAUUUACAAAACGGAAGCGGAAAGGCGCUAAAUGAAAAAGCACAAAAAGAAAACAAGAGGUUCUCCCACUUAAUCGAUGUGUGUUAUCUCAAAGUGAGUAGCCACCAAGUCAGACAGGUUCUCAAUUCAAUUCAAAAUGAAUCGUUAAUUCCAGCUCAGCAUGGCAUCGAUGGAUAAUGAUGAUGAUUGAAAAACGAUGACCAGGCAAAAACAGCUGGCGUUGCAUGCAACAUGUUGCCAAGAAAUGCAAUUUACAUAUUUUCCAAAAUGGCAAUCGGAAGUUCGUUUUUUUUCACAUUUUCCACGCUUAGCCAAAUGGAAAAUGCAAUAAAUCAAAUGCACCAGCAGCAGCAACAACAACGCUUGAGUGCUUUUCUUGUUUAGAGUUGGCAAAGCAAAAUAAAAGUUGCCACUUUAAUAAAA